CCUUGGGUCAUGUCCCCUCCACCAUAUCUGACCUCUUCCCCAUGUCUAGAGGAGGUGACCCACACAGCAGAGGUUCCAGGUCUGUCCCUCCUUUCUCUUCAUGAUUAGCUCACACCACACCCUUCUAGGACACUUCCUGGGCCAUUAGCACUUUUCUCUUUCCCACUCUCAUGGUCCUAGAACUUCUGUGUUCUUUGCAGAUAGACCCUGGCAUGCCACCAUGGCCUUCUCUGGUGGAGCCUGAUCUGGAGUCUUCUUCAGUGAAGUCACCUCAGGCCUUAAGAGGUUUUGCAGGAUGGAGAAGGUCUACAUGGCCUCCUGGAAAUCUUUGGGAAAGAAGGCACUCCAAGAUGAAAUUUUAAAGCCUACGUGACAAUGGGAAGGUCCAGACUCUUCUGAUGGACUGGACUGGACUGGACUGGACCCCCGAACAGCUGUAAAAAGCAAAUGGAGCUGUCUGUGUGCUGAGUUUUAUGGCCUGGUGGUACUUCCAUAAUGGAGUCAGUUGUGCUAAGGCCUGGAGGCCUACUAAGGUAUGAGAGCCUCUUACAGAAAUGACUUGGGUGGUCUUCAUUGAGUCACCCUACCAGGUUCCACUUGAGAAUGCUUCCAUCUGCCCUUCCUUCCUUCCUUCCUUCCUUCCUUCCUUCCUCCCUUCCUUCCUUCCUUCCUUC